CGUGUUCGUGGGCGUCGGCUGGUGCUCGUGGAAUGUAAGGACAGCGCGCGCGCCGCCGUGCUCAACCGCCCUGGCAACCUCGACGCCCUCACCACCACCAUGGGAGCUAGGCUCAAUAAGUUUUAUGAAUCAUGGGAGGACAACCCAGACAUUGGCUUUGUUAUGAUGAAGGUAUGGCGCUUCAUCAUUUUCGUGCUCUUAUUGUUGCUAAAGAAAUAUAAAUUGAGGUGUUGAUCGCGUGAAGGGCAGCGGCCGAGCAUUCUGUGCUGGUGGGGAUGUUAUUAGAUUGCAUGAACUUGUCAGUGAAGACAAGUUGGAGGAAUGCAAGGAUUUUUUUCAAGACGUUGUACAGGUUCAUUUAUUUUUUGGGAACAUACUUGAAACCGCACGU